UGAUAAUGGUUUACUGCCCCGUUCGAUUGGAGAUGAGAAAGAUUAUCGUGCAGCAAGAGAGCAACUACAACCAAUUAUCGAUUGCCAUUUGAGAAGUUUAUCCAGAGAUAUUGAUCUAGGUCAAAGCACAGCAGCUGACAUUGCAAGAAAAGCUGCUAGAACGAUUUUAGGCGCAUGUGGAUUCGAACACUUAAUAAACGAGAACGAGAUGUAUAGAACAUCACCACCAUCCCAAUGUUCUCACAUUGAAUUGUCGAUGGGGGAAGGCCGAAGAAGCCUGAUAAAGGGCCUCUGCUUGCGUUGUUUUGACUUAUAUGUUCGGGACAUAGUGAAG
rnacentral:misc_RNA from 1 species